CCCUUAGACGUUCUGGGCCGCACGCGCGCUACACUGACGAAUGCAACGAGCUUAUAAUAACCUUGGCCGAAAGGUCUGGGUAAUCUCCAAAUUUCGUCGUGAUGGGGAUAGAUUAUUGCAAUUAUUAAUCUUCAACGAGGAAUGCCUAGUAAGCGCAAGUCAUCAGCUUGCGUUGAUUACGUCCCUGCCCUUUGUACACACCGCCCGUCGCUCCUACCGAUUGAAUGGUCCGGUGAAGCGUUCGGACCGUGGCCUUUGGACGGUUCGCCGUCUGUUGGCUGCGGGAAGUUCGUUAAACCUUAUCAUUUAGAGGAAGGAGAAGUCGUAACA
rnacentral:rRNA from 1 species